rfam:Thioflavicoccus mobilis 8321, complete genome.
UUGAGCCGUGUGCGGUGAAAGUCGCACGCACGGUUCUUAGGGGACGGGAUGACCGUAAGGUUACCCUGCUACCCGAC